GUGGCUUAAUUUGACUCAACGCGGGAAAUCUUACCGGGUCCGGACACACUGAGGAUUGACAGGCAAUAUCUAUUAAAAAGAUUAUAUUUUUAAUAUAAUUCUUAUUUUAAUAGUGUUAAAUAUGCUAGUCCUUUCAUGAUUAUGUGAUAGGUGGUGCAUGGCCGUUCUUAGUUCGUGGAGUGAUCUGUCUGCUUAAUUGCGUUUCACUAAGGGCCCAUAAAUUCAAGGUAUGUUAGCUAUUGUUUCCCUAUUGACCCCUUAUUUAAUAAGCGCGUGUCUUUAUGGGUUUAAACAUUGCGCAUGCUGUUGGGUCCUGAAAGCAACGAACGUGACCGCAACGUCUUGUUGCCUUUAUCUUGUUAUAUCUAUUAUUU
rnacentral:rRNA from 1 species